rnacentral:rRNA from 1 species
CAUUCAAAUAUCUGCCCUAUCAACUUUCGAUGGUAGGAUAGUGGCCUACCAUGGUUUCAACGGGUAACGGGGAAUAAGGGUUCGAUUCCGGAGAGGGAGCCUGAGAAACGGCUACCACAUCCAAGGAAGGCAGCAGGCGCGCAAAUUACCCAAUCCCGACACGGGGAGGUAGUGACAAUAAAUAACAAUAUAGGGCUCUUUUGGGUCUUAUAAUUGGAAUGAGUACAAUUUAAAUCCCUUAACGAGGAACAAUUGGAGGGCAAGUCUGGUGCCAGCAGCCGCGGUAAUUCCAGCUCCAAUAGCGUAUAUUAAAGUUGUUGCAGUUAAAAAGCUCGUAGUUGAACUUCAGACCUGGCUGGGCGGUCCGCCUAACGGCGUGUACUGU